AAUCAAGGCUCAUGCACAGGUUUGCUCAGCAUUUUGAUAAAACAUUAGCAAAGCACCAAAGAAUGAUCAUAAGCACAGCCAAGUCCCAGAACAUAUUGAGAGGAAGCGACGUACCUUUUCAGAUGCAAGCACGUGGCUCUAGCCAAAUGAACCAUAUGGCUGAAAAAAUUGCACAUUGUCUGUUUUUUUGCUUCCUUAUUGCCAAAGUCUUUAUGAAAUGUAACUAGCAGAGAAACUCAUCUAGAGUAAGAUACCCUCACCUAAGUCUAACCAAAAUUCCCCAAAUUACGUGUUCCAUAAGAAAGCACAGCUAUUAAACGUCCAAUAUAUUAUGAACUGGCU
rnacentral:lncRNA from 1 species